UAUAAAUAGAGAUAGACAUAACAGAUAGUACAGAGAUAAUCAAUUUUUAAAGAUGUACAUUAGCUGGCAGUGUAUGGUGAAGUGGCUGAGAAACUUUUUUUUACUAGAUCGGUCGUGCCAAUUUGUAUGGAUGUACAAGGUGUAAGCGUAUGGUACACAGCAACUCGAAUCUUGAUAGAACUCGUGGUCCUUUACCACGGGGGAUCAUCUGGAUAGGGAGUACUAGAAACACAGUUUAUUCAGGAUUCGGAACAACAAUUAGCUCCGGCGCAAUAAAAUGGCAUUUGUGUGCUAUAAAGGUCGUCCUCAUCCAAGGAUUAUUCUUACCCUAUUCUAUGCGAGUGACAUCUGUGUAGCUUUCCGCAGUGGGAACGUCGGUCUUCCUAGAUAAAUGCGCAAACGCGGCGGCCGUUGAGCCGCUCUGGCGUCUACUGCACCUUUUACAUUAGCUUUAACUUACUACGACGAACCUCUGCUCCGAAUGAUGAUGUCCUCGAUGAUUAGUUAUUCCUAGUCCUGACCAUAAAUGAAUGAUUGUAUCAUUCUG